rnacentral:sRNA from 1 species
AGCAGCCGCGGUAAUUCCAGCUCCAAUAGCGUAUAUUAAAGUUGUUGCAGUUAAAAAGCUCGUAGUUGAAUUUCGGGAUUAAUUUACUGGUCGUGCUAUUGUACGUACUGGUUUUAUUGAUUCCUCCCUUCUGACGAACUAUGAUGUCAUUAAUUUGGUGUCAUAGGGAAUCAGGACUGUUACUUUGAAAAAUUAGAGUGUUUAAAGCAGGCUCACGCUUGAAUACAUUAGCAUGGAAUAACGGAAUAGGACGUUUGAUUCUAUUUUGUUGGUUUCUAGGAUCGACGUAAUGAUUAAUAGGGAUAGUUGGGGGCAUUAGUAUUCAAUUGUCAGAGGUGAAAUUCUUGGAUUUAUUGAAGACUAACUACUGCGAAAGCAUUUGCCAAGGAUGUUUUCAUUAAUCAAGAACGAAAGUUAGGGGAUCGAAGACGAUCAGAUACCGUCGUAGUCUUAACCAUAAACUAUGCCGACUAGGGAUCGAAUGAUGUUAAUUUUUAAUGACUCAUUCGGCGCCUUAAC